UUGCUAUGCAUACUGCCAGUACAAGCCCCUGGUUCGGCAGAUGGCUCACCACUCACUUUUCCGUGCCUGGGGAUAGAUGCUUGUCUGCUAGUCUUGGCCUCACAAUUAUCUUUUUCAUUUGGCUGCCUCAACUGUAAAGUUGACCAAAGUAUUCUCUAAAAAACUAGCAAUACGGGAGAAGAAAGCUAAAAAGGAAGAAAACUAUCCUCACCUCUAUUUAAAAUCUAAAUUUAAGAGUGACUAUCUUCACUAAUUAAGGAUUUAAUCAUUUUCUAUAUGUGACAUUUUAAAAUUGAAGAAUGAAUUAAAGACUUUUAAGGACAAUCAUCAACUAGAUUUCCAACAGCAUAUAUAAACAUCCACGGUGCAGUUAACCAAGACCGAAGAUACUGGCAGCAAUAAUCCGAAAAUUAGAAGAAUCCUUCAGGUCAUUCACAAAGUUUCCAAAUUAAUAAGUAUGUUUGAUGAAGUUCACAUAUGCUAACAAUCUUCAACUGCGAAAAUUAUGGAAUGAAUACAUGAAGCCAAAAUAUGGAUUCAACUCCUCAUUAAUGCAAAAAAAGAACAUUCAAAAUCUCUGAAUCAUGAAAAUAAACAAGUGGGCAUCUCAGUGAAAUCGAUUUUGCAAAAAGAAAACUGAUAAUUAAGUAUGAAACUUCUAAACUGAUAAUAAGUAUGUUUGAUGAAGUUCACAUGUGCUGACAAUCUUCAACUGUGAAAAUUAUGGAAUGAAUACAUGAAGCCAAAAUAUGGAUUUGACUCCUCAUUAAUGCAAAAAAAGAACAUUCAAAAUCUCUGAAUCAUGAAAAUAAACAAGUGGGCAUCUCAGUGAAAUUGAUUUUGCAAAAAGAAAACUGAUAAUUAAGUAUGAAGCUUCUAAACUGAUAAUAAGUAUGUUUGAUGAAGUUCACAUGUGCUGACAAUCUUCAACUGUGAAAAUUAUGGAAUGAAUACAUGAAGCCAAAAUAUGGAUUCGACUCCUCAUUAAUGCAAAAAAAGAACAUUCAAAAUCUCUGAAUCAUGAAAAUAAACAAGUGGGCAUCUCAGUGAAAUUGAUUUUGCAAAAAGAAAACUGAUAAUUAAGUAUGAAGCUUCUAAACUGAUAAUAAGUAUGUUUGAUGAAGUUCACAUGUGCUGACAAUCUUCAACUGUGAAAAUUAUGGAAUGAAUAUGUGAAGCCAAAAUAUGGAUUCAACUCCUCAUUAAUGUGAAAAAAGAAAAAUUCAAAACCUCGAAUCAUGAAAAUAAACAAGUGGGCAUCUCAGUGAAAUCGACUUUGAAAAAAGAAAACUGAUAAUUAAGUACGAAACUUCUAAACUGCAGAAAUCAUGACUUAACAUACAUUCCAGGUAGAACAUAAAAAACCAACACAGAGAAACAGAGAUGAGGCCGGAUGAUGUGAUCAGUUCCAACUAUUAUAAUCACUCAUUCCACAAUCAAGAGACACAAAAUAAAUUAAAAAAUAAUCCCAACAAAUAUAGAGACCGAGCUGACACUGCACCAAAUUGCUCUUGGUCGAUCUCAAUAUAAAAAACAAAAAAAGCAGUGAAGAAUUGAAUAAAUAAGACUAACAGCGAGGCAAACGAAAGGCGAAUGCGCACUAUCCUUGGUUGUACUGAUGUGACUGGAAGGAAGAGGAGGAGGUGAUUGAUGCGGUCUGGCAAGAAGAGACGGAGAGGGUCGAUUCGGCCGCGAUGGAGAAUUUUGUGGAUGAUGAGAGUGAAGGAACUGAUAUUGGAAUCGAGAAGGGUGAUGUAUAGGAGUCGGAUCUUGGGUGGGCUUCGACAUGAGCGAGAGAGGGAAAGGAACAGUGCUGGUGUUUCAGUAGUGGAGGGAGUUAAGAGUAAUAUACCAGGAGGAAGAAGAAGAAGAAGGACGGAAAGGGGAGAG
rnacentral:lncRNA from 1 species